rnacentral:lncRNA from 1 species
AAAAAGAUUGCUUAUCCAAAAUUUUAUCAGAAACUCGUGGACUACACCAAGUUCCCUUUUCAUCUUAUUUGAGAAAGAGUUUUUAUGUUUUUAUGUGUUUUUGGUUUUAUUUGAGAAAAUGCAAUCGAUGUUGAUCGAGGUUUGUUUUGCGAUGCGGGUGAUUAUGAAAAUGAUUUGAAUUGAAAUUGAAAUGGUUUAAAAUUUUGAGUGAAUGUG